rnacentral:rRNA from 1 species
UACGUAGGCAGCGAGCGUUGUUCGGAGUUACUGGGCGUAAAGGGUGCGUAGGCGGUUGUUUAAGUUUGGUGUGAAAUCUCCCGGCUCAACUGGGAGGGUGCGCCGAAUACUGAAUGACUAGAGUGCGGGAGAGGAUAGUGGAAUUCCUGGUGUAGCGGUGAGAUGCGUAGAUAUCAGGAGGAACACCGGUGGUGUAGACGGCUAUCUGGACCGUAACUGACGCUGAGGCACGAAAGCGUGGGUAGCAAACAGG